UUUGACACAUACCUGAGAUGUUAACACUGAUUAAUACCUGGUAUAGUUAACGCUGUCUACCUGAGAUGAAAACACUGAUUAAUACCUGGUAUAGUUAACGUUGAUAAAUACCUGAGAUGUUAACACUGAUUAAUACCUGGUAUAGUUAACGUUGAUAAAUACCUGAGAUGUUAACACUGAUUAAUACCUGGUAUAGUUAACGUUGAUAAAUACCUGAGAUGUUAACUUUGAUUAAUACCUGAGAUGUGAACACUGAUUAAUACCUGAUAUAGGUAACGUUAACAAAUACCCGAGAUAUUAACACCGAUAAAAACCUAAGAUGUUAACACUGAUUAAUACCUGUGAUAGUUAGAGCUGAUUAAUACCCAAAUUCAAGAAACCUACAGCAGACUUAUAUAAAUCACCGAAAAAUUAGCAUCACUUGGACGAGGUAUGCAGUGCCACUACAAAUCACGAGAUGUCCAGUUGUAUUUUUAAAAAAGUCUACAUAACGUAAUUCUCUUUGAGCAAACACUCUAUCCGUCGUUUUCGUGGUGAUUAGGUAUGAAAUGGCGACUAGUUUCGGGAGUUAACAUGUACGUUCAUACGGCUGUCUCAAAAGGGUCUCCCCUGCGCCAUGUAAAUCGCCGACACGUUUGUUUGCAUCUGACUGGCAAAGGGGCUUCCAAAUGCUCUUACAUACGAUAUAUUACAUGCAUCUAUCUGUUUGCGUGUAUUAUUCCUUUACUUCUAUUCACUCGAUUGCUUAACAAUAAUAACAUAGAUUCUCAUUUCAAUGCUCUUUGUAUUCCAUAGAGACAAACGUUAAAAAUUCAUUAGCGGAUGGCCAGGGAACAUUGACUGUUAUUACGCCCCUUCCGUCUGGCGAUGGAAGUCUCGUUCUCGCGAGAUUUGAGACCUUGAAGUCUUACUGUAACAAUCCCCACGUGAUCUCUAUUUAGUUGAAUUAAUAAGCCAUUUAAAGCAAAUAAAACUGAUAUGUAAUUUUAUCAAACUCGACAUCCCUGCAAUGUUGAUAUCUAGGAAUGCCGGAAAUUCAAUUUAUUGAAAUGCCAUCUGACCAGGCUUUGAUAAAGGAGAAAUGAAGUUGUAUUGUACAUUUAUGGUGAUAAUGUCUAUAGAUCACUAAUGCCACCGCCAAGUAUUCAUACUGCACGAUUCAGAGUAUAAAGAGAGCCUCUCCAAUGUCACUCGGCAUUUCAUGAUGUCUGUUCGUGAGUCUUAUUUCAUAUAUAGGUCAUAAAACUUUCAAAGUUUUUACUUCCAGAUCAACAGCGUGACUGAUAGUCCUAUUCAAGAUGGUGGAUGUAAAAUUUAAGACAGAUUCCUUUUAAAAAAAAAUGAGGACUAUUACAACAAUUCUCUUAACGUGUCAGGUACAUGUGACUUUGGUCAGCUGGACAAAGUACAAAUACAUAUACUACUGUGGAAAGAAUCAAGGAUAGCUGAAGACUUGUAGCUUCCAGAGAUACCCAUUAGAGCAAAGCCGUUCAAGCCGUUCAGCCAGUUUAAUAAAAUAGUAAUUA